GAUGAACGCUGGCGGUAUGCUUAACACAUGCAAGUCGAACGGACUCUUCGGAGUUAGUGGCGGACGGGUGAGUAACGCGUGAGAAUCUGGCUUUGGGUUCGGGACAACCACUGGAAACGGUGGCUAAUAUCGGAUGUGCCGAGAGGUAAAAGAGAAAUUGCCUGAAGAUGAGCUCGCGUCUGAUUAGCUAGUUGGUGAGGUAAAGGCUCACCAAGGCAGCGAUCAGUAGCUGGUCUGAGAGGAUGACCAGCCACACUGGGACUGAGACACGGCCCAGACUCCUACGGGAGGCAGCAGUGGGGAAUUGUCCGCAAUGGGCGAAAGCCUGACGGAGCAAUACCGCGUGAGGGAAGAAGGCUCUUGGGGUGUAAACCUCUUUUCUUAGGGAAGAACAAAAUGACGGUACCUAAGGAAUCAGCAUCGGCUAACUCCGUG
rnacentral:rRNA from 1 species